GCUGGGUAUGGUGGUGCACACCUGUAGUCCCAGCUACUCAGGAGGCUGAGGUGGGAGGAUGGCUUGAGCCCAGGAGGCAGAGGAUGCAGUGAGCCGAUAUCUCGCCACUGCACUCCAGCCUGGGCAAUAGUGCCAGAUCUUGUCUCAA
rfam:Pan troglodytes isolate Yerkes chimp pedigree #C0471 (Clint) chromosome X, whole genome shotgun sequence.